rnacentral:tRNA from 1 species
GCGGGGGUAGCCAAGCCAGGUCCAUAUCUUCGGGAGAUCUCCCGAAGAUGGCUAUAGGCGCUCGGUUCAGGGCCGAGUGGGCGUAGGCCCGCGCGGGUUCAAAUCCCGCCCCCCGCA